CCUACGGGAGGCAGCAGUGAGGAAUAUUGGUCAAUGGCCGUAAGGCUGAACCAGCCAAGUAGCGUGAGUGAAGACUGUCCUAUGGGUUGUAAACCUCUUUUAUGCGGGGAUAAAGGUGUCCACGUGUGGAUGUUUGCAGGUACCGCAUGAACAAGGACCGGCUAAUUCCGUGCCAGCAGACGCGGUAAUACGGAAGGUUGGGGCGUUAUCCGGAUUUAUUGGGUGAAAAGGGUGCGUAGGCGGAAUGCCAAGUCAGCGGUAAAAUCGCGGGGCUAAACCUCGCUCUGCCGUUGAAACUGGGGUUCUUGAGUGGGCGAGAGGUAUGCGGAAUGCGUGGUGUAGCGGUGAAAUGCAUAGAUAGCACGCAGAACUCCGAUUGCGAAGGCAGCAUACCGGCGCCCAACUGACGCUGAAGCACGAAAGCGUGGGUAUCGAACAGGAUUAGAUACCCCAGUAGUC
rnacentral:rRNA from 1 species